GCUCUCGUGGCCCAGUUGGUUAGUGCGUCGUACUUAUAAUGCGAAGGUCGAGGGUUCGAUCCCCUCCUGGAGCA